GGCCUUGGGCCUUCCGUAUGGACUCUAUCUUGGACUCUUCUUCAUUAAUCCAAUUUUACACAAAUAAGUUAAGGACUUGUUGACCUUUGGGACCUUGAAUGUGACAAUCUAACUCCCUAACUUAAAAAUUUAAAUUUCUAUGUUAGGGAAUCAUGGAUCAUGCUGUUAUAUUGAAUUUUUAGUUGGUCUAUUGGACAUUAUAAUUCUCCUUCCAAAUUGUCCUAGCCCAACAUCUUAAAAGUCCACAUGUUGUAGUUGUCAAUGGGCCACUUGUGGACUUGAAA
rnacentral:lncRNA from 1 species